GGGGCAGUAAAAGCUCAGCCUGGGAGAGCAACCGGCUGAAGACCGGUAUGUCGGGUGUUCAAACCACCCCUGCCCCA
rnacentral:tRNA from 1 species